GGGGGGAGGACUGGGGGCGGGGGGGGGGGGGGGAAGAGGAGUUGGGGUACAUGUGUGUAUAAAAUGCGUGUGCAUGCAAUCCAGGGAUGGCAAGGACAGGCUAUCAGGGAAGUAAAGCUUCUUUGUGAUGUCUCAAAAAAUACAGCAGAAUUGUCUGUUUAGCAAGAGGGGUUAGGUGUCUUGAACUCAAGCGGUAGGAUCCUUAGAUAUUAUAAAUAGCUAUCACUUUUCUGAAAUCACUAUAUAUAAAAGAGCAAAUAAUCUCCAGAGAUUCUUACAUGAUAGAGUAUGAGAGAAUCGUGGUGCCAUUCAAAUGGCAGAAGUUAGAAUGUGAGAAGACUCAUCAAGGUGUUCUUUUGCAAAAUAAGCUGCUCCCAGUGCUCUGGCUACAGUACUUUGUCCAAUGUGCUGACAUGAGCAUUGGCAAACCAGGAGAAAUUCAGUCGUUAUGUUCCCCUUGAUUCCAAAAAAGCUGAGUAAGAGGUUGGUGCUAGGUAUGUUAUUUUCUGUCAUCUACGAGAUUGGUAUUUAUUUUUGAACAGUGUUUGUUAACUGUUACUGCUGCCGCAGCAACCAGUGCUGCAGAAGGAGUACAAAAUAUUCUUGAUUCUUGCUUCAUAAAAUAGUUGCUUUAGAAAUAUUUCUUGCUAGGCUUUGUAAUACAAAAUGAGAUGAAGGUUGGGAGGCUGAGGUGGGCAGGAGUGUACAUUACUGUGAACCUCCUUGGAUACUUCAAAAGAGGAACCGAGGAACUGAAUAAAUUAUGCUCAUCUCUUCAAGGUAGCUCUAAGUCAGAAAGGAGCAUGCUGCUUGGUACUGAAGAACCUUGCAAUCUAUGUAUCUAACCAAAAGUUUUCAGCUAAUAGGACUUUCUGUUCUUAGAUAACUUAUUAGUAGAAGUUUUAAUAGGUGAAUUUUAUUUUCAAAGGUGCAGUGAUCAUCUCCUGGACUUUAACCCAUUAAGUCUUAAGGUAUGUUUGUUCACAGUCUUGCACCCUUCGAGGCCUGAAAGAACAUUUGAGAAGUCCCUGUUUCCUGCAGUCCACACUAGAUUCACUGGCAAAGAUAUCCCCGCUUUUUUGUACAUAUGUUUCCUUGUGGCUUCCAAUAGACCCAUCAACAUUAUCAGAGUUCAGAACUAUUGUUCUUGCAGUAGCUUGAUGGAACCAGGUUGUGUCAGAGCUGUUGCGAUAAUAAACUUUGUUCCCGACCCGCUUCAGCUGCUGCUCAUGUUCAGAGCAAUGGACAGCUCCUGUGAUGCAAACCAAACGGGCCAUUGCAAAACUGGCCAAUUGCAUUCCAUCAACAGGAAGUGAACCAACAAGCAGUAAUAGUUAGGGAUGUUAGUCAGACAGUAGUACCACUUUCCACGCAGGAGUUCCAGUCAGAAACGAAAAGUAGUUCUUGUCCCCCGUAUUGCUGGCUAAUUCAUUCCAACAAGUUGUCAUGGUGCUCUUUUCUGCAGAUUAACAUCUGACAACAUUUGGUUUGUGAUUUCAAUUAUUUCAGACCAGUUCCUAGCAGUUGAUUAUACUAGUAGUGGAUUUUUUUAACAUGGUUUGCUGAUUUGUCAGAGAGGACAAAAGUCAAACAGUUCAUGGGGAAGGAACAGCCAUGGGUUGUUUUCAGGGGCUAUUCUGCCACGAAACAAUUAGCUGCUAUCAGUCUUCCAAACCAACAACAAGAACUGCAAAUGCAAACAAUGCUGCUGAAACACUUGAUACUUCAGCCUGUAGCCUUUGCAUCUGAUGUUAGAAAUUGAUCUCUGAGGACACACAUUCUAUAACCACCACUAAAUAUGUAUCAGCAUAACGCUGAACUUUGUUUGGCCCUACACUGUGGCUUCAGAAAGUCAACCAAACCUAUGAGGAGAGAUUCAGAUAUCAGCAUUACACUGCUUUCUAUUUUGCAAUUUCUCACUCACUAUUCUAGCACCUUUUCACUUUCUUCUUUGUUUUGAUGUUAAUUCCAUAAUCACAUAUGUCACAAGCCCUCUGAAAGGACUGAAAAUUCAUCACCAACAUUUAAAUGAGUUAUCAGAACAGAUAUAUUCAUUGCAUCUGCGUUCUCCUCUCUCCACUGUCUCCUUCUGCAUCAUUUCCCUGUCCUCUUGGUUUAAAUGGUAAGCCCUUGGGUCUACUUUCACAGAGUUAUAUGAUGUAAUACAGCAACAACCUCUUACACUGUUUCUUCUCUAUUAGUACUAGAAAAUAUUAUUUUAAAUAACAGCACUCAUUUUCUUUGUUGGGACAUUGGUGUAGUUAUACAUUGCAAAACAAGACUGGCUAAAACUGAAAUUAGCAGUGUGAUUCCUAC
rnacentral:lncRNA from 1 species